rnacentral:lncRNA from 1 species
AUGGAGAAAAUGUCUAAAUAAAAAAUUAGAUGAAAAAGUGAAUCAUUUGAACAAAAAAGUUCUUGCAAGUGCAGCAUAAGGCUGAAUGCCAAAGUAUUAUUGUUCUGCUUGCUGUGGAUCUGGUGACUUUUGUAUUGUGUAACAUGCCCAUAUUUCUUUUUAAAUGUUUAGGAGUUCACCAAAUCUUUUUGUGAUGUGGUGCUGAAGCAUUAUCCUGGGACAGCAGUAAUGAUUGAUGAAUACACUUCAGGCUUGAGUCCCAGAGCAGCAUGAGGAUUUACACUUCCGAAGCAGAAGAGUGAAUGGAAUUGAAGGAUUUAUGUGGAAGAUUCUGAAUUCUCCCCUUUCCUGCUCCAGGAAAGGCAGGGGCCUGCUCUGAGACCUCUGGGUAUGUUCCCUGUGUGCUACUGAAGCUGACUUGAACCGUGUGACAAAUGAGAUACAGGUGGAUCACUCUCUACCAGAUCUCAAGGCAAAUAUUGCUCUAUGGUCCUUGCUCUCGGCAACAUCUUCAGUGUCCUGGUGAUGGGGUGCCUUGGAAGGACUGCGCAGAACAAGCUUCAUACCACCUCUGCACUUCAGGCUCUCUGCACUGUAAGUACGUUGUAUGAUGUUGCAGCUACCACUUGGCAUUUCCAAGUUGGUUAACUAAGAGUUUCUUGGCAUCUAGAAAAUUUAUUGUGAUUU